rnacentral:rRNA from 1 species
UGGGGAAUAUUGCACAAUGGGGGAAACCCUGAUGCAGCAACGCCGCGUGAAGGAAGACGGUUUUCGGAUUGUAAAACUUCUGUUCUUAGUGAAGAAUAAUGACGGUAGCUAAGGAGCAAGCCACGGCUAACUACGUGCC